rnacentral:rRNA from 1 species
GAUGAACGCUGGCGGCGUGCUUAACACAUGCAAGUCGAACGAUGAAGCCCAGCUUGCCGGGUGGAUUAGUGGCGAACGGGUGAGUAACACGUGAGUAACCUGCCCUUAACUCUGGGAUAAGCCUGGGAAACUGGGUCUAAUACCGGAUAGGAGCGUCCACCGCAUGGUGGGUGUUGGAAAGAUUUAUCGGUUUUGGAUGGACUCGCGGCCUAUCAGCUUGUUGGUGAGGUAAUGGCUCACCAAGGCGACGACGGGUAGCCGGCCUGAGAGGGUGACCGGCCACACUGGGACUGAGACACGGCCCAGACUCCUACGGGAGGCAGCAGUGGGGAAUAUUGCACAAUGGGCGCAAGCCUGAUGCAGCGACGCCGCGUGAGGGAUGACGGCCUUCGGGUUGUAAACCUCUUUCAGCAGGGAAGAAGCGAAAGUGACGGUACCUGCAGAAGAAGCACCGGCUAACUACGUA